CGAGAAAGCGGAAGUGCGAGAGUUCGCGAGAUUUGGCGUGAAUUGAACCUCUGGAGAUAAACAAAUCCUCGCAUAUACAUAGGCAUUAUAGAUUUCUUGUUUUUACUGAUACAGAAUGGCAUUGUCCAUUCUGUAUUGGUUAAAUUUUGUAUCCGGGACUAAAAAGCUUCACCAGAAGUCUGAAGUGGCCGUGAAAUCGGAACACGUACUUAAAUUCCGGUACGAUCCUGAGCUGAGACACGUCCAGGGAAGGGUGCAAGCCAGCAUGAGGGAUAGAAGCUAUCAUAUUAACAUCACACUUGGGGAUAAUUACACGGUUGAAGACAGUAUCUGUGACUGUGUUAAUGGCAAGGAUAAGUGCCACCACAAAGCUUCUCUUCUGUUAUAUGGGUAUGUAUUUUUUUAAUACAAUAAAAAAUAUAAAUGAUUUUUUACCUUCAUUUUAUAAAUGUUAUUCAUCUUAAUUUAGGUACAAGAAUGUUAGUAGCUUAAGACGGAUGUAAGAGAAUCUUGGAUAAAACACCCAAAGAGUGGACCCCCAAAGAAAACGAUGACCAUGGAUGACUUAUUUCCUCCAACACCAAAACUAGCAAAUUAUAGCCAUGCAAUGGAUAGUUUCUGA